rnacentral:tmRNA from 1 species
UGAGCGGUAGCAACCUGAGAUCUAAAUCAUAGACUGUGCUCGGAGAAGUCUAUAUGGCAACACUUCUGGACAGGGGUUCGACUCCCCUCAUCUCCACCA